AACGAACGCUGGCGGCAUGCCUAACACAUGCAAGUCGAACGAGACCUUCGGGUCUAGUGGCGCACGGGUGCGUAACGCGUGGGAACCUGCCCUUAGGUUCGGAAUAACUCCCCGAAAGGGGUGCUAAUACCGGAUAAUGUCUUCGGACCAAAGAUUUAUCGCCUUUGGAUGGGCCCGCGUUGGAUUAGCUAGUUGGUAGGGUAAAAGCCUACCAAGGCGACGAUCCAUAUCUGGUCUGAGAGGAUGAUCAGCCACACUGGGACUGAGACACGGCCCAGACUCCUACGGGAAGCAGCAGUGGGGAAUAUUGGACAAUGGGCGAAAGCCUGAUCCAGCAAUGCCGCGUGAGUGAUGAAGGCCUUAGGGUUGUAAAGCUCUUUUACCCGGGAUGAUAAUGACAGUACCGGGAGAAUAAGCUCCGGCUAACUCCGUG
rnacentral:rRNA from 1 species